GCUCCUGCUCUUUCGAGACUUUGACCAUCCUCUUGACUUGCCUCUUUUCCUUCCUCUUUCAGAUCUCUCCCCCACGGCCAAGCCCUCCUGAGGAGCACCUUCCUUGGUCAACUUCUCUUGCUGUUCAUUGGAUCGCAACAUCGAGACCAUAUCUUCAUACUCUAAGGUCUCCUUGCCGUAGAGCAGCGUCGCACCAAUGGAUAUAAGAAGGGGGCAGCGAGCAUAGCAAUAGCAGCGACUUAUCUUCCUCCUCCAUCUUCACCC
rnacentral:lncRNA from 1 species